rnacentral:misc_RNA from 1 species
CCAACGUUUUGUACUACAAGCACCAACAGCUGCCUGGCAAAAGCAGUUCUUCCUCCAUGCUUACAACCGCACCACUGUAGUGACUUUUUUAUUGCUUUUAUCUCUCUAUGGCGUAGUUGUCUAUUUGGCGUUAGUUCUCGUUUGCUCAUUAGAAACUGAGCUACGUUUUUCUGCAAUAUUUCUCAUUCAUUUCCACAACGGGCUUGAUAGGAAGGAAGGAAUACAAAAGGGACAAGGCAGGGAGGUUAAGAAAGGGAAGGGGAGUGGAAAGACGGGCUUGAUGCGUUGGCUAGAAUACACGGAGGAAGGAACUAUGCGUAGAUAAGUCGGGAUAAGUGUUCUGUGGUAGUACGGUUGGUACGGUCCCUAGAGGACCGUAGUGGUAGCGGCAUAGUACCAUGCUGGUACACUGUAAUAAUAAUAGAUUGAAAUAACAAUGGACUGGAUAGUUCUCGAUUACGACGUUCUCUGGAUAGAUGUUUAUCUAAAUAUGUCUAAAUGUCUGGGCAGUAUGGGCACCAGGGGCCGCUAAGGUAGUAAGGCGCACGAAAGUGGAACGAAAGUUCGAUGAGCCGAGCUUGGUCAAAGGAGGCAUUGGCUUGAUCCACCUUGAUCUUUAAUAUUUUAGUGACUACUGAUACUUCAUUUCAUUCUGUGUUGGCAGUACGAGAGGCGAACGUAUAUUUUGUUGUCGUUAGGCCAUCUGACCGUUGUGUUGACGCUCUAGAGCUUCGUUUCUCGAACGAAGCUAAUCGAUAGAUACAGCGGAGCUGCUCCUGAGCCUCCGCGCAUCCAAGCAGUCCGUGUUGGUGUGGUGUGUCUACAGAAGGGAGGCAGACAAGCCAGAGAUCAUGUCGCCUCUGAAGGUGCUUGUUUCAGCGACGUUCUUGUUUAGCUGCAGCUGCUUAGGUGCGAAACUUCAAGACCUCAGAAACCAGGUGCUGCAGACGACUGAAGUCUUUCAUUUUUAUAUUGAUAAAGGAAUGUUUGACGCAUCGAUAGAUAGCUAUGGGCAUACAGAAUUCAGAGCUGCCUUGUUAGGAAAACCGGACUUACCAAAGUGGAUGUUCCUACGGCAAACUGGCAAUUCAAAUAGGGCACUUUUGUACGGUUCGUAUCAAGACGAUGGAGAACUUAACAUUGAGGUAUUUGCUAUUAACAAGUACAACUACAAGACAUCUCUACGGGUAAUUAGUCUUCAAGUGGAAAAAAGGCCGAGGGAAGCACUUUACGAGGUAGAGAUGAAGUUCUUAAAUCUCAAUAUCGAGGACCUAUUCGAGGGUGACUGGUUAUCUGACUUGGAAGAAAUUUUUCGAGAUCACUUAUGGAAAGAAAGCCCCGUCAUUUAUGUGACAAAAGUGGCUUCGGUGGUGGACAUCGGUGGCAGGGUACCUGUAAAUCCUAAGGACAAAGAAGGGAUAGUGGUACGCAUUGGAGGGACGACCAACUUUUCCCAGGAGCUGCGCACGCUAGAAGUUGAGGCCAAUCAGCUGCGAAACAGGGUCUCUUGUCCACGUGACUACAAGCGAACCUCUGCUGAGUACCGUUUCCGAAGUAGGAGCUUUCUACCUGACUGGUGUGGAUUCCGUCUAAUAACGCUGCCUGAGCAACUGGAUGGUGAAGGAAUGAUGCAGCACCAAGAUGCUGCCUUCUCACCCAUCCCACUAGAAGAAGACAGCUAUAAUCCGCCCGACAUGGGACACCUGCCUCGAAGGGACUUGCUGGCAGACUUUCUGCUCUCUCUACUGCUGCCAGGAUUUGUUACAGCCAUGCUGCUCAGCACACUCACAUGCUUCAUGUGCUGCCAGCACGAGGAGGAAAUCCCAAGUGCGCAGGUGGAACAGCACAGCUCCAUUGAACGUGCCACCAACGCCCUGCGCCAAAUGGCCUCCAAGCGCAACCUCUCCUCAGCAGCCUCCUCUCGGGUCCAUUCUCGUGCUGGCAGCCCUCUCGAUGCUUCGCUUCCUCGGCCGUCUCGGCAAGGGACACUUAAGCUUCGGGCACUCCCUCCACCACCAUACUCUGCGGCUCAGAGCGAUGCCUAAUUCUGGAGACAAGUGUGGUAGGAACCUGAGACAACCUGAUUCACACUCACCUCCCAGCUAGUCUCCUUUAGCCAAAGCCAUUAGCACACUUUAGACAUUCAUCUUAGCUUCGACUGCACGUGCCUGUGUCUUUGGUACAAGUCCUUCAUUGUCUGUUGACACCUGGUGAGCUUCCAUGGCAAGAAAGAGAUGCAUAGGGCACUCAACAAUGCCAGGGGACAACUACUGAAUGUAUUUCUUUAUGUACUUGCACUUCGGAGCAGAGGUCAUGUAAGCAUGAUGGAGCACUGCAACGUGUGUUCUUGUAGCACAGAAAUUUAGUCCAAGCUAAUCCAAAGUAAGAAUGUUUGAGAGGGUGUUUGCAAGUUUACUGAAAUAAAGGUGUCCUUACCCUUUGUUAUGUGUGGUACAGAAAUUUUUUAUUGCAGAAGAACAGCAUACACAAUGGAACACGAGGCACAAAUUAUUUCGAACAGUGUUCUUAAAGGUUUGACAACUUACAGUAGUCUUC